CACUGCUGUGUGGUGUUCUGCUGCAUCCACAGCUCCAGCCCACGCAAAGGAAGCAUUAAAUAAACUUCCUCAGUGUUGCUGCUCCCAUACCCCAUCCUGGCUAUCACUCCCACUUGGGGCUCUGUGUAACAGAAGAUUUCUGGAGAAGAGAGAAGUGUUGGUGUUUCCUCCCAUUGCAGCCUCCCUCAAGGCCAAGCUUGGCUAUAGUUAAUCUUUAAAAAGAACAGCCAAGUGUAGUCACUGAGUUAAAGGAAGCCAUCCUUCCCCUCUAUUCUGUGAGAGCACAUCUGGGGUGCUGUGCCUGCUUUGGACCAGAAGACCUCCUGACAUCCCUUCUGACUCCAGUUAUUCAUUUAUCACCAAGGUACUGCCAACCUAACCCCAGGUGCUGCCUGUUUCAUCACACACAGCAGCAGUGGUCUCUCCUGGAGUUUUGUGAUGUAUUUCAUCGUGGAAGGGGAUGCCAGGCAGGAGAGAGUGGAACCUGUCCUGGAACUGACAUUAGGAUCAUGUUCAGCCACCAGGGAUGCACAGAGAGGAACAGAAGGAGUAAAAACAGCCAUUCAGGAUGGCUCCCAGAACUCAACACGUUCCAGCAAUGGGCUCGCUAAUGCCACCUCUCCUCUCUUCCUAACCAACAGCACCUGGUCUUUGAUGCCCAAGGGUCACAUCCUGAGAUCAGGCAAAAUGAAAACUCAAAGAACACCUGUCCCCUGCCCCAGAUGCCACAACACCAAGGAAUGCAGCAUGAGUACAGCUCUCUACAUCCACUGGCACACUCUCAAGGUAGAGAUA
rnacentral:lncRNA from 1 species